UUCAUAGAUAAGCAGCGAAACUUGUAAUAAUGUUUUAUCAUAGAAAACAUUUUAAUUUCCUGCAAAACUGCUUGCUCAGUUUCUAGUGUAGUAUAAUAGUUAUUUAUUCGACGAGUUUGAGUGUAAAUCGGACGUUUUAUUUCACGAGUGGUUUUUUAAACCUCGAGUGAUAACGAGAGGUUUACCAUCCACGAGGUGAAAUAAAUGAACCGAUUUACACGAAAACAAGUUGAAUACAACAUUUUAUUCUUCGAAUUAGACUCAACAAGGCUUAAAAUUGCUUAAAAUCUGUUAAAAAUAAUCUGACGUUUCGUAUUGAGAAAUGCCAAACAGUUGUCAAAACUGUCUUACACAGGAGAAAAAUCCGAAAUUCUGACAGUGUCGAAGAAUAAAAUGGUUUAAAAUAUUCAUUGGCUGUAAGUGUUUUUUUAUUGUUCGCUUUAAGUUAAGGUCAGUUAAAACCAACAGCAGAAAAAAAAGAAGAGGUAAGGUGUUUCGGAGUUGGCAGAUUUAGAAUAAAGCGCAUAAUCCUAUCUACAUAAAGAAUGUUAAGAAAUAUGGUUUUCUACAUUUUCUUCUUUAUACUGACGCAAUGUCUGCCACAUAUGGCUUCAACAAAUUCUUCAAUAACAGAUACCAAGGAAACGUACAUAUUGGAAAUAAAUUCGAAUGGACAAACUUCAAUAGAUGCUUUCAUAUUUAUGGAUGAUAUAUUUAAACGAGGCAAGCCUUUCCAGAGUUUAACAUCUUUGAAUUUUAAUUCACGCUUAAAUGUGACUAUUACAAUCGAACAUAAAGACUCCAAAAUAGAAGUUGCAUUUGGUACAAUGCAUAAAGUGUUUCAAAAAGUUCAAACCCAAAAAUUUAAAAUAAAACUUAAAAAUCCUGUUCCGGAGGCAAAACCUGAUACGAAAGCAAAUCCUGUACUCUCCCUUCAAAUACAUACCAAAGGAUCGAACACUGUUAUUCCAUUCAAUGUUUUAUGUUUAAACACUAUUUCGUGCUCAUUUAAAAAUUUAAAGAACAGCUCAGAAAACUUGUCUUCUAAGCAUCAAUUAUUGAUGCUUUUGGUCUUUGUUCCUUUAUUGUUUGUUUAAUAAGCCCCGAGUUAAGGCCCGUCCAGAGUCAACUUGUCCUUCAAAUUUUUACAACACUAUUUGGGCUGUCAAGACUGUGCCAGCUGCAGUCAUAAUCAUAAAUGAUACCCUACAAUUUCAGCCCCUUUGUCGAAAACUAUCAGCAUUUAUGGCUUCUCGAUUUUGUGAGCUUGGGUACCUUUUGGAAGUCUUUCAGUACACGUAAAUUCAUCAUCAAAAAGAGUUAUACAAUGUGUUCUUUAAUGAUUCUCAUCUAGUCGUCUGUGAAUUUUUCAUAUAAAAACAGAAAUGUGGCUUUAUAGAAUUAAUGACAGGCAUUUGGACAUCGAAUAUUACCAUUCUCCAUUUAUUAAAUCUCCAAUUCGAAAAUAAACUUCAUUAAUAAAAGUAUUUUCUUGCACGGUGUAACAAUUUAGUUGCAUUUUAACGAAAUUUUUAAAAGAAAUUAAUUGAAUUUCACAAAUGACAGAUUUGACAUUUAUUGCAUAAUUUUUUUUACAUGUAAACCAAUUUCAAACUUAACUAGAUGAGAAUGAUUUAAAAACACAUUGUAUUUACAAUGUAUAAAUAUAAUGUACUUUAGACUUAGUUUAGAGAUCAAAAUUGUAAUGAAGUGUUUAUUA